GACGAACGCUGGCGGCGUGCUUAACACAUGCAAGUCGAACGAUGAAGCCUAGCUUGCUAGGUGGAUUAGUGGCGAACGGGUGAGUAAUACGUGAGUAACCUACCUUUAACUCUGGGAUAAGCCUGGGAAACUGGGUCUAAUACCGGAUACGACCAAUCUCCGCAUGGGGUGUUGGUGGAAAGCGUUAUGUAGUGGUUAUAGAUGGGCUCACGGCCUAUCAGCUUGUUGGUGAGGUAACGGCUCACCAAGGCGACGACGGGUAGCCGGCCUGAGAGGGUGACCGGCCACACUGGGACUGAGACACGGCCCAGACUCCUACGGGAGGCAGCAGUGGGGAAUAUUGCACAAUGGGCGCAAGCCUGAUGCAGCGACGCCGCGUGAGGGAUGACGGCCUUCGGGUUGUAAACCUCUGUUAGCAGGGAAGAAGAGAAAUUGACGGUACCUGCAGAGAAAGCGCCGGCUAACUACGUGCCAGCAGCCGCGGUAAUACGUAGGGCGCGAGCGUUGUCCGGAAUUAUUGGGCGUAAAGAGCUUGUAGGCGGUUUGUCGCGUCUGCUGUGAAAGGCCGGGGCUUAACCCCGUGUAUUGCAGUGGGUACGGGCAGACUAGAGUGCAGUAGGGGAGACUGGAACUCCUGGUGUAGCGGUGGAAUGCGCAGAUAUCAGGAAGAACACCGAUGGCGAGGCAGGUCUCUGGGCUGUAACUGACGCUGAGAAGCGAAAGCAUGGGGAGCGGACAGG
rnacentral:rRNA from 1 species